rnacentral:rRNA from 1 species
UACAGAAGUCCCAAGCGUUGUUCGGAUUCAUUGGGCGUAAAGGGUGUGUAGGUGGCGCCGUAAGUCGGGUGUGAAAUUUCGGAGCUUAACUCCGAACCUGCAUUCGAUACUGCGGUGCUUGAGGACUGGAGAGGAGACUGGAAUUCAUGGUGUAGCAGUGAAAUGCGUAGAGAUCAUGAGGAAGACCAGUGGCGAAGGCGGGUCUCUGGGCCGAUACUGACGCUGAGGAGCGAAAGCGUGGGGAGCGAACAGG